rnacentral:rRNA from 1 species
GACGUAGGAGGCGAGCGUUGUCCGGAUUCAUUGGGCGUAAAGAGCUCGUAGGCGGUUUGUUGCGUCGGCUGUGAAAUCCCGAGGCUCAACCUCGGGUCUGCAGUCGAUACGAGCAAACUAGAGUGUUGCAGGGGAGACUGGAAUUCCUGGUGUAGCGGUGAAAUGCGCAGAUAUCAGGAGGAACACCGGUGGCGAAGGCGGGUCUCUGGGCAGCAACUGACGCUGAGGAGCGAAAGCGUGGGGAGCGAACAGG